rnacentral:rRNA from 1 species
GCACGGGUGAGUAACGCGUAUGCAACUUGCCUAUCAGAGGGGGAUAACCCGGCGAAAGUCGGACUAAUACCGCAUGAAGCAGGGAUCCCGCAUGGGAAUAUUUGCUAAAGAUUCAUCGCUGAUAGAUAGGCAUGCGUUCCAUUAGUUUGUUGGCGGGGUAACGGCCCACCAAGACUACGAUGGAUAGGGGUUCUGAGAGGAAGGUCCCCCACAUUGGAACUGAGACACGGUCCAAACUCCUACGGGAGGCAGCAGUGAGGAAUAUUGGUCAAUGGGCGAGAGCCUGAACCAGCCAAGUAGCGUGAAGGAUGAAGGCUCUAUGGGUCGUAAACUUCUUUUAUAUGGGAAUAAAGUUUUCCACGUGUGGAAUUUUGUAUGUACCAUAUGAAUAAGGAUCGGCUAACUCCGUGCCAGCAGCCGCGGUAAUACGGAGGAUCCGAGCGUUAUCCGGAUUUAUUGGGUUUAAAGGGAGCGUAGGUGGAUUGUUAAGUCAGUUGUGAAAGUUUGCGGCUCAACCGUAAAAUUGCAGUUGAAACUGGCAGUCUUGAGUACAGUAGAGGUGGGCGGAAUUCGUGGUGUAGCGGUGAAAUGCUUAGAUAUCACGAAGAACU